AGGAGCGUAGCUCAACUGGUAGAGCAUCGGUCUCCAAAACCGAAGGUUGCAGGUUCGAGUCCUGUCGCCCCUG
rnacentral:tRNA from 2 species